GCCCUUGUGGUGGAAUUGGUAGACGCGGUAGACUCAAAAUCUAUUAUCUAACGAUGUGGGAGUUCGAGUCUCCCCGAGGGCACCA
rnacentral:tRNA from 1 species